rnacentral:rRNA from 1 species
UACGUAGGUGGCGAGCGUUGUCCGGAUUUACUGGGCGUAAAGAGCGCGCAGGCGGUCGUACAAGUCGCGUGUGAAAGCCCCUGGCUCAACUGGGGAGGGUCACGCGAUACUGUUCGACUCGAAGGCAGGAGAGGGAAGUGGAAUUCCCGGUGUAGUGGUGAAAUGCGUAGAUAUCGGGAGGAACACCAGUGGCGAAGGCGACUUCCUGGCCUGUUCUUGACGCCGAGGCGCGAAAGCCAGGGGAGCAAACGGG